rnacentral:rRNA from 1 species
AUUGAACGCUGGCGGCAGGCUUAACACAUGCAAGUCGGGCGGAGAUGAGGUGCUUGCACCUUAUCUUAGCGGCGGACGGGUGAGUAAUGCUUAGGAAUCUGCCUAUUAGUGGGGGACAACAUUCCGAAAGGAAUGCUAAUACCGCAUACGCCCUACGGGGGAAAGCAGGGGAUCUUCGGACCUUGCGCUAAUAGAUGAGCCUAAGUCGGAUUAGCUAGUUGGUGGGGUAAAGGCCUACCAAGGCGACGAUCUGUAGCGGGUCUGAGAGGAUGAUCCGCCACACUGGGACUGAGACACGGCCCAGACUCCUACGGGAGGCAGCAGUGGGGAAUAUUGGACAAUGGGGGAAACCCUGAUCCAGCCAUGCCGCGUGUGUGAAGAAGGCCUUAUGGUUGUAAAGCACUUUAAGCGAGGAGGAGGCUACUGAGACUAAUACUCUUGGAUAGUGGACGUUACUCGCAGAAUAAGCACCGGCUAACUCUGUGCCAGCAGCCGCCGUAAAAC